UACGUAGGGCGCAAGCGUUAUCCGGAAUUAUUGGGCGUAAAGAGCUCGUAGGCGGUUUGUCGCGUCUGCUGUGAAAACUCGGGGCUUAACCCCGGGCCUGCAGUGGGUACGGGCAGACUAGAGUGCGGUAGGGGAGACUGGAAUUCCUGGUGUAGCGGUGAAAUGCGCAGAUAUCAGGAGGAACACCGGUGGCGAAGGCGGGUCUCUGGGCCGUAACUGACGCUGAGGAGCGAAAGCGUGGGAGCGAACAGG
rnacentral:rRNA from 1 species